rnacentral:lncRNA from 1 species
AUGGGUAUUGUUUUGUUCUAUGAUACCAUGGAUCAAAGAGAGAUAUUUGAAAAGGCCCAAGUCUUGUCUUCGAGGAGCUUACAGCCCACUCUGGGAGCCGAUGGAAGAAAGGUGCGGUUGAGUAGAAACUUGCACGCCAGGAACACCUUCCUUUGGACUUGGCAAGUCAUCGCCUCCUGACACUACUAAGAGCGCUUGGCGAGUGGUUCUCCAAAGAAGGCCUGCGAUGGGGGAGGCCCUCUGAGAGCCCCUGGAGAUGCCACUCCCAGCUCCAAAUGUCUCGGUAAUAUUGGGAAAUUUGCAUUCUGUUUUUAUUAUAUUGCCGUGUCUAUUUUUGAUCUAAACCUAAUGUGCUCCCUAUACCCUUAAACACAGUAAAAUUGGAGCAUCCCAAACGUUUACCUUGUUUUAUCCCAUGGCUUCAUGCCCUCCCCACCCCAGGGCCCAAAGGGUGGUUGCAGCCUAUUUUGAGGAAUAAGACACUGCACAGCUUUAUAGGAGCACCAGGCUUUCAACUCUCUGAACUCGUUUUUAUCAGGCCAGUCUCUGCUCAUGAUAAAUAUGCACAUAAGGGGAAAAACAUACAAAGUCAGCGUUCUUUUGUUUACCUAGUUAGGUAGGAGGGCAAACGUUUAUCAAGCUAUUUUUCUCUAUUUAAAUACAUGGUUAAAGUUCUUAAUUAUUGGAGGAACUGUGGUCGCCGUUAUCAAAUAAUUAUUUUAGACACGCGCACAUUGGUGUUGCCCCAAAGUAAUUAGGGGACAGCCAUAAAACUUGGCAGUUGAUGGCAGCUCCUAACAUUUCAUUAUUUUCGGUUUAUUUAUGAGGAAACCUAGAACCAGCCUCCUGCUCGUGUUUUAAUUACUCAGCAUGGGAAGGAUUGAUUUCCGAAAACCUCCCCACUGCAGAAGGUAAUGAUGAGCCCAUUGCCCUGAGGAGCUCAGGGCCUCAGAGGUAGGCAGCCUCCCCCCUGGGGAUGUCACUGCGGCCCUUUAGUGUGUCCCAGAGUCCCUGGAGUGUAUCCUGUCCUGAGAGCUCACGUGGAAGCAUUCUACGGAGGAAAACAGAACACUGCUUCCAGCGUUUGGACCUGGCAGCCUCAAUGAAAGGUAAUUUAAAACAAUUUUUUUUAAUUUAUUCAUGAGAGACACAGAGAGAAAGAGAGGCAGAGACACAGG